AUGCAAAAUAUAUUAUGUGUUAAGUCAUGCAUAAAAAUACUAAGAACAAGCAUGUUAAGGAUCAAAAUCAAUUCUUUUUAAAUAAAUCCCCCUAUUUAAAUAUAAUCUUGCAUUGAUUUCAUCCUUAAAGUGUGUUUUCAAGUGAUAAAAAAAAAUGACUUGAUUCUUCUUAUAUACUAUCAUUUAUUUUGUCUUUCAUAUUUUUUUACUUUCUUAUGCUCUAUACUCUAUUUGCUCCCUAUCCGGUGGAGUUGGAAGGGGCACGAGGUACUACCACUAGCCUCCCUCUUGUGCCGUCCCUAAUAUACCCUACACCGAAUAGUUGGGUCAAAUAAUGCCGGGUACUACCACUAGCCUCCCCAUUGGCACCAUCCCUAUGAUGAGCAAUAUAGAAAAUUUAUAAAGUUCACUUCAAACUCUC
rnacentral:lncRNA from 1 species